AAUAAAACGAUGAUAGGAAGUAGUAGCAGUGGAUCCAUCCUUUAGAGAGCCGGUGGUUGGUGGAAAUCGGUGGUUGGGACUUGUGAAUCCAUCCUGGAGUGAACUACUGAAAUUAAGUAAGUAGUUUCGGUGAUAACCGUUAUUUUUGUAAGAGGAAAGUAUAGGAUUAUACUUUCAAUUAGGGUGGCAACGCGGGUAAACUCUCGUCCCUUUC
rnacentral:ncRNA from 1 species